rnacentral:rRNA from 1 species
UACGGAGGGGGCUAGCGUUGUUCGGAUUUACUGGGCGUAAAGGGCGCGUAGGCGGCUUGACAAGUCACUUGUGAAAUCUCCGGGCUUAACUCGGAACGGCCAAGUGAAACUGUCAAGCUAGAGUGCAGAAGGGGCAAUCGGAAUUCUUGGUGUAGCGGUGAAAUGCGUAGAUAUCAAGAGGAACACCUGAGGUGAAGACGGGUUGCUGGGCUGACACUGACGCUGAGGCGCGAAAGCCAGGGGAGCAAACGGG